UCGUACGCCGGGCUAUAAUUUAUGAAACUGAGCCCCAGAUCCAGCCAAUCACUUAGCUCCUCAUAACAAGUCUAACUGGCUCUGGAAAGCUGAAAGGGCUGCACUAGAACAACAAAGAUGAGAUAGUCCACACAAUAAUCUGCUUAUCUGGAAUCACUUUCCUUCACAAGACCAGGGAAAAAUCACAGCUUCAUUGACUGAAGAAAGGACAGAUGGCCUGGGAAAAUGCAACUACACCUGGAGCAA
rfam:Pteropus vampyrus cont1.41882, whole genome shotgun sequence.